AGAAAAAAAAGAAGAAAAAAACAAAUCUGAAAGUUGAAAUUCGAAUUUUGGAAGUUUAAACUGGCAACCAAAUCAAGUUAUAAAACAUUAAAAAAAAAUAACAGAAACGUGAACAUGGAUAGGAAAAGAGAGAGAAUAAAGAAAAAGUCAUACUUUUCUGUUGUAGCCCCACCACUACCGCUUGAUUCCUAUCACCGCUUGAAAGUUGAAAUUCUGAAUUGCUUUGCCUUGUCUGUUAGUGCUUCUUUGGUUGGGUUUUAUUUGUUUUUUUUCCAAUUCCUUUUCAAAUCUUCCACGACUUUUCGUUCCCAAAUGGUAAUAAUAAUAUUAUAUUAAAAUCUUCCUAGAUCUUUGAGAUUCCAAGGCAAAUAAAUAGUUGCCUUUUCAGUUUUAGUCUUUUACAGUGAUCGAGGAUGCUAUUAAAAGCUCAUCACCAUAAAGGCCGGUCAAAAUAAAAUUCAUCAGGUCAAAAUAAAAGGCUUACGCCUGUCAAGCCUUAAAGGCGUACGAAUAGAGGCUUACGCCUCUCUCAUGAAAGGCGUAAGCCUCUUUUUAUUUAUAUAAGGCGUAGGUAUCGAGGCCUUUUUUCCCCGCCUCGCCUCAAGGCGCGUCUCAAGGCGCACGCCUCGUUCGCCUUUUGAAACAUUGCAUACAGCAUAGAUCCGUGAAGCCCAGCAAGUUCCCAUACUUUCCUCUUGGUUUCGGUGACUUUCAGCAUUACCCGUUGCUUUUUGACAUCGAGACAGCAAGCUUAAGGCCUUCCCAACUCGAUUGUGAGAGCCCAAACCUCCUCGACGUAUACCCACUUCGAACCCAAGUUGUUUUAGUGUGAGUUAGUAGGAAGUCUUCGACAAGAUCAGGAGCUUUAGGACAUUUGUUUUACACUGCAGCUCUUGGGAGUGUCCUAGUCCUGGAUGAGAUUAUUCCAAGGGAUAACCAAGUUGACCAAGAGUUAGGCAUCUCACAUGAAGUUAAAAGGAAGUUCCCAUUGUCUUCGUCAAGACAAACUGUUAGGGCCCCUCAACAGCAGACACAGACACGGGAUACUCCCUCAUUGUGUUCCUUAUGUUAUAAGCAUCAUACUAGGCUAUGUUGGAAGAAGAAGAGGAUCUGCUUUGAAUUCAAGAAGGCGGCCCAUUAUAUCAGAGAAUGCCUGAUGACUGAAGCAAGUGCCUCAAAGGACAACCAAUAAGGGAGCACUAUCUCAUAAAAGACUUAGAUGCUGUUGCUACAGAUACUUGUUCCGACCCUAUUAUCGUUUCUUUUGUUCUCUCUUGGUAGUGAUAUUAUUUGGAAUUAUCAUGGCUUUGAGUAUCCUUGACUUCGUGAUUUAUUUAUUGAUUCUCUAUACUUUUGUGUGUUAA